rnacentral:rRNA from 1 species
UGGGGAAUAUUGGACAAUGGGCGCAAGCCUGAUCCAGCAAUGCCGCGUGAGUGAUGAAGGCCUUAGGGUUGUAAAGCUCUUUCGCACGCGACGAUGAUGACGGUAGCGUGAGAAGAAGCCCCGGCUAACUUCGUGCCAGCAGCCGCGGUAAUACGAAGGGGGCUAGCGUUGUUCGGAAUUACUGGGCGUAAAGGGCGCGUAGGCGGCCUGUUUAGUCAGAAGUGAAAGCCCCGGGCUCAACCUGGGAAUAGCUUUUGAUACUGGCAGGCUUGAGUUCCGGAGAGGAUGGUGGAAUUCCCAGUGUAGAGGUGAAAUUCGUAGAUAUUGGGAAGAACACCGGUGGCGAAGGCGGCCAUCUGGACGGACACUGACGCUGAGGCGCGAAAGCGUGGGGAGUAAACAGGAUUAGAUACCCUGGUAGUCCACGCCGUAAACGAUGAAUGCUAGACGUCGGGGUGCAUGCACUUCGGUGUCGCCGCUAACGCAUUAAGCAUUCCGCCUGGGGAGUACGGCCGCAAGGUU